CUACGGGGGGCAGCAGUCGAGAAUUUUUCACAAUGGGCGAAAGCCUGAUGGAGCGACGCCGCGUGGGGGAUGAAUGGCUUCGGUCCGUAAACCCCUGUCAUUCGGGAACAAUGCCUGCGGGAUAACACCUCGCAGGUUGAUAGUACUGGAAGAGGAAGGGACGGCUAACUCUGUGCCAGCAGCCGCGGUAAUACAGAGGUCCCAAGCGUUGUUCGGAUUCACUGGGCGUAAAGGGUGCGUAGGUGGCUGGGUAAGUCUGAUGUGAAAUCUCGAAGCCUAACUUCGAAACUGCAUCGGAUACUACUUGGCCAGAGGGCUGGAGGGGGGACUGGAAUUCUCGGUGUAGCAGUGAAAUGCGUAGAUAUCGGGAGGAACGCCAAUGGCGAAGGCUAGUCCCUGGACAGUUCCUGUCACUGAGGCACGAAAGCUAGGGGAGCAAACAGGAUUAGAUACCCCAGUAGUC
rnacentral:rRNA from 1 species